rfam:Clostridium sp. CAG:299 genomic scaffold, scf277
AUAAUGAGACUUCCGUCCAGCCACAGUCCUGCGCGAAGCGGGAACACGCAAUGGGGACGGCCCGGCGAGAACCGCGGGGAGGUUAGAUGCCUAUGG